ACCCCAUCUACAGGUGUGGAAAGAGGUGGGAAAAAAAGACAGGGAAGAAGAAGCCUAAGUCCGAAACUGAAGAUGAAGAGCAACCGUACUAUUAUGAUGGUGUCCUCACUGUCCAAGCCUGCGGCUCUCCCCGCCACACACACACCCCUACACAACCCUCGAUGACACACAGCUACCCUCAGAGCAAGCCAGGCUUCUCGUCCAAGGACCGGUGUGAAGUAUCAGAGAGAGAUGUUUAAAAUCCCAUAGUAAUGACAUUAGUGGGCAAGCUUGGUUACUACUGACAAACCCUGCCUGUCCAUCGAUGCCGCGGGUCUGCCCGUGAGCCCUUAUUGUUCACCAGGCUAAGGUCACAGGCACUUGACAUUCUCUGCCCUAAGCCGAGUCCACACCGGAGAGAAGACAUGGGCAGUUGUAAGACAAAUUGGACAGGAACACAAAUGUCUCAGAGCCAACCCUUUACCACGAUCAGAAACACAUCCAACAGAAAUUCAAUCCGAAAUACAGUCUGCUACGUGGACAGAUGUCUCUUUUAGGAAACCCCCGAGGACGUGUAUUUGGUGCUCUAAUUUAUUCGUUUUUAGUUGAAAUUUGCCUAUCAAAUUAGAUUUUAAAAAGUUUUAAAGAUUACGUGUGUGUGUGUGUGUGUGUGUGUGUGUGUCUCUGUGUGUGUCUGUGUGUGUGUCUGUGUGUCUGUGUCUGUGUGCAGGUCAAAGGACGACUUGCAGGAGACAGUUCUCUCCUUCCCCAUGUGGGUCCUGGAGAUGGUCCUCUGGCCAUCAAGCUUUGUAACGGCUGCAUUUACCUGCUAAACCAUCUCGCUGACCCGGAUUAGACGCUUUAAUUGAGGCUGAUUAUAAUUUUCCUGCCAAUUUAUCUAAUGGCUAAGCCAGCCUUUCCUCUUACUAAUCAAUGUCAUCUGUACUGCCAAGCAAUGUUUCCAGUCCACACAGAUAAGCGAGGGAGGGAAAAAAAAAACCAGCUAUUUAUAGCUGUACUUGCAAUAGCGCUUUUAUUUGGAAAAGUUUAUAAUCAACUGUCUCAACUCUUGACCCGUUCUCUUCUGUCGGGAUGAUAAUGGCAGCUUUCUAGAAAGGGUCCUCAAAGCGAAGAGCACCCUAGAACAAGAUGCCAAACUGGACGGGCCUGCACAGAGAGACCUGUGAAAGAGCCAGAGAGAUGGAGGGCUGGCACAGCACGGCAAAAGGCCAGGAGGGAGAACUCUGCACCAAGGAGGAAGUGGCCGCUGCGUGCAAUGCCUCCUCGAGGUCAAGCUGGACGGAGAGUGGAAAGGUCGCGUGGAUGCAGUGCACCGUGUCAGAGGUGUGCUGCAGCCCUGCCUGUGCUGUGCUGCCAUGGUCAUGAGGUCUCUUCAUAAUGAGAAGAAAAAAAACAUAAGACACCGACCUUUGCUCCUGAUUCCAUCACUCCUACUCCCCAUCCCUUAACACCACCACUGCCGCACACAGAGGACUUACUCCGGGCCUGGCCGUCAUGAACCCAGUGCAUCACUACAUCAGUGCAAUUAAGAAGAGGUUCCGGGCCGGGCAGUGGUGGCGCACGCCUUUAAUCCCAGCACUUCGAAGGCAGAGCCAGGCGGAUCUCUGUGAGUUCAAGGCCAGCCUGGUCUCCAAAGU